AAUAGCGUGUUUAGUAAAUAAAUGUAUUCAAGUGUGUAAUUGUGCGAAUAUGGAUAAUCUUUUCAUUACGAUAAUCGAAAUACCGAGGAAGUGAAUAUUAUAUAUGCGGCGAACCAUCAUCAUUUUUUGCGUGGCUUUGGUGCAGGUGCGACGAUGUGUGAUUAGUCGCGAGUUCGCGAGUCGUGUUUUUAUUCUGCGUUUCGUCUUUUCGACGGUCACAAAACUAACGUUCAAUAAUUAACAACGAAAAAGACCCGUGAAUCGAUCGAGUGACUACUGAUAAUAUCAUUAUUGCGAAAGUUUAGUGUAAUAACCGUGUUCUGCUCCUAUUCUGGUGUCGUCUUGGGGGAGCUUCCGACGCAGUGCAAGUGCAACAGGAGUGCACUUCAUUACGCGCGCGAGUGGAAGAAGCAGCAGCAGUCGGUCUCGUGUCAGUGUCCUUCAAAAGGAAAAACGGAAGCAAAUUUUCACUUCGGAAAAGGCAAAAAUCGUUCGCCUUGACGCAUUAUUUAUUACUGUUUCCUCUUUUGGGGGGUGAGCAAAGCGGUGGAGUUCUUUGUCCCAUCAGCAGCAUUUGGUUGUUUGGUGUUUGUCUGGUUCGGAUGUGGUGAUAAUUGAAUAAAAUUCUUAUCAGCAAUAAGUCGGGCAAGAGCUUCGUGAGUAAUCCUCCUACGAAAAGACCAUUUGCAAUGGAUCAUCGCAAAUAAACAUACAAAUACAAAUAGUGCGUGAAACACACUGUUGCCUAGUGUAAUAAGCACCCACAUCGACGUAUAUUGUGAACCGUGUGCUAGUGAAUGCAGUUCUACUGAUAAAAAUACCUAAGCUUUACGAAUAGUCGUGUGGUAGCGUAUUUACUACUUCGAGAAAAAAGUGAAAUCAUAACACACUUGUUGUGACUAAAUAAAAGAAAUUAAUACACUCAUUAGCGAAGAAUAUUGUGAUCAUUGAGCCCAGUGUUGAUUGAUUAGCAUCCAGCACAUAAUCCUGUGAGUGUGGUGAGCGAAAGAAACAUGUCAACAACGGGCCGAAGAAGAAAAUCAAUAGCCACCCCGAAAGGGUGGCGGCAGCAACCACUAUCAGCGAUUGUCCCAUCCUCCCACAUAGCCAGCAAUUGCUGCAACCAGUGGAUAAUGAUGAUGAUCGUGGCCGUGACGGCACUGGUAGCAACAUAUCCUGUCGGAUCCGAGGCAAACAGUUUGGCCCUAAUCGGUGAGAAUUGCAUCGUAACGGAGCCCUUAUACAACAUAACGUUCAAUCUGACGGAGCUGGACUCGGAACUAGCCCACCACGUCAAAUCGGACAUCAACGAGCGCUUCCUGUUCGACGUUUGCGAUCAUCUGAAAAAUCCCUGCAACGGCAUUUCCGGCGGAGCAGCAUGUUUGUAUCGGAACAACCAGACCCAGGUGCUGCUGGGGAUGCAAUCGACGCUGCAGUUGACCGAUGGGCGACUCCAUUUCAACUUCACCGGCGGAGAACCCUGUCGCAAUGGAAGGAACUUCUCGCUGGACAUAAUACUGAUGUGCAGCUAUUCGACCGUGCAGGAGCCGUUGAGUGUAAUUCCUUACUCUGCGGAUCAGUGCGGGUAUUUUAUGUUCUGGACAACGAAACUGGCCUGCGCUCCGUUGCCGGAUCGAGUCAAAACGAACGAGUGCGCCGUCAAGGACGAAACGGGUUACACUUUCAACCUUCUGCCGCUGAGUCACUUGCGGUAUCACGUCCCAGACCGCAGUGGAUCGCACUUUUUUGUGACUGCGUGCAAGCCAAUUCACUACGGUCAUAUGACCAUGUGUCCACCGGGAAGUAGCGUUUGCUUCGUCAACAGUACUGAAUCGGACUACAGGAAACGGUACCACGACUACGGUCAAACGGAUCCGAACCCGACGAUCGAGAAUGGCAAACUGGUGAUGAAUAUGAAUUCCAGCGAAGGAAAAUGCCAAAACUCCAAGAUCAUAUUCGAGUGUGAUCCUACCGCGCAGGAAGAGGCCCCGGAAUAUGUGGCCAAGGAAGGAUGUGUGCAUUUGUUCGAAUGGCGAACGCCGUUGGCUUGCAAGGAGAAGAAAUUUUGCGCUGUGGUCGAUCCCAGCAGUGGAAUGAUGUUCAACAUGAGUUCGUUGGCAGGACAGAGCUACACAGUGAAGGAAGCCAACAGGUCGUACGAGUUCGGGAUCUGCAAAAUGGACAAGAGUCAGUGCGGAGAAGGAUCUGGAGCAUGUGAGCUGACCAAGGAUAACUCAGAAGUCGUUGGCUUGGGCAACCUAAACGACGAUCUGCUGUAUAACAUAACCGGAGCUCCUUACUUGCUGUACAAAUCUGGUUCCAUUUGUAAGCAGCCGGAUCAAAGAUGGUCCACAAAGAUCGAGUUCAUCUGCGAAACGGAUAAAGGGGCCAAGGCUGAACCUAAGCUGGUGGAGAACAACAACUGUGAGGUUUACAUUCAAAUGGAAACGGAGCUUGCGUGCACGGAACCAAUCUCAUGCGUUGCCACGAACCUCUCCAAUGAUCAGCAAAUCGAUCUAAGUCCGUUGAUUUCCGCCGAAUACAAUUACGAAGCACUGGUGAAUGAGACACUUGCUAUUGCCAAGGACAAGAAAUUCUUCUUGAAUGUGUGUCGCCCUUUGCUCUCAAUUUACGGGCUAGGAUGCCCUGGUGGGUCCGCUGCUUGCAUGGCCGUUCAGAGUGCUAACGACCCAACACCGAAGGAAGAGCUUUCAAUGGGCUAUCCGGACAUUUCACUGAUCAUAGUCCGCGAUCGUGUUCAACUGAAGUAUCUGCGGGGCAGCGAUUGCCCCCAGGAUAAAGACACAAAACUUUCCACGGAGAUUGAAUUCUACUGCCAGCCGAAAGCCGGCCGCGGUGUACCGAUCUUGCAGGAAGUGAUGCACGACUGCCACUACCGGUUCGAGUGGGCCACCAAUGUGAUGUGCCCACAGUAUGAGGGGGAGUUUCAUGCGAAAACGUGCUCCAUUGUGAGCAACGAUACGGACGUGAGGGUGGAUUUGCAGAAAAUUUUUCCCAAUGGGGAGUUGGAUGUGAAUCAGCGCAAAAAUAGUGCCUCACAGGAGCUGCGAGAUGGCAAGGUACAGCUUUGUACGAAGAACGUUACGGCCGUGAUCGAUUACCGAGAUCGGGCGGUGAAGAUGUUCUUUGCUGUUGCAGACGCGAGCUGCGAGGGAACCGGAGGAAACAUCAACGUUAAUCUGAAAUUGGAAUGCGGUAAUUCUUCCAGUUUCAUCAUAAAUGAGCAAAGCCCCUGUCACCUGAUACUGAAGCAAGUGUCCCCUCAGGUUUGCCCUCUGGUAGGCGCUUCUGGUAGCGAAGAUCACCCAACGGGUACAACUACAACGAUUAAGCCACCGGGACCCACGAGUAUCGUAACGCCAACAAAGAGCCCCAUUACGUCAACUGCCAUUCCGACAGCGGCAACUAGCAGCAGUACGCCGGCUUCGGAGAAGUCUGAUGGGGAUUCCAAAGCUCCUAGCGAUGUACAUGGCAACACUGAUUCCGGCGGUGGUUCUGUGGGUAUCAUCUUGGCCGUUUUGACACUGAUUUCGCUGACCGGUGCCGGUGGGUUCAUGCUGUUACGAAACCCCGAAAGGCGCGACCAGCUGCGGGCGCUGUUCCGCCGACGGAACGUACUGGUGCAGUAUUCGAGGGACAAUUUGGCAGAUGAUUUUUAGUUUGCUUGCGCCCCAUCCAGCUGCCGUUUGCACCCGUUUGUUUUAUGCUGCCGUAUUGCGUGCUUCACUGUAGUCCACGUCUCACCGCCACUGAAGACCCGCGUCAAAGGUCCGUACCAGCAACGAUGAGGCUAGCCUGUUGAUGAACCCAACCGCGACUUUGUCCGAUAGCGACGACGAAAUGCUGAUUUAAAACAUCUUAUUCGCCCUUUCUAUCGCAUUACACCACAACAAUAAGAGUCACAUGUUCGCGCCUUAAAAAUCAAACAAACUUGAUAACCAAUUUUUGUAAAACUCAACGAAAGUCUAUCCGUAAGUAUUGGAUGGGCAGCGACGGUGACGAAGGAACCAAAUAUUUUACGAGAGAAGACGACGAACGGUGCCGGAUUUGGAGAGGCGAGAAAGUUCGCGGUGAUCAGUUAGUCAAAUUAUCUUAAGUGAAACAUGAUUUCAUUUUUUUCUAGAAUAAUUUUUAACCAAAACAAUUUGUUUUAGCGUAGGAAGUCAUCCGAGCCUGGCUCAAUUUUGUGUUACUUAAUCUUUAGAGAAGAAACAGAUCAGACUUUGUAGAGUGAGUGAGAGUGAUUUCAUCUUUUGAGUACUUUUUAAUAAUAAGGUUAAUGAAAAUUGAUGAAACUUUCAAAGAGCAACUAAGAAAGACUAAACCAGGUUAAACGGGAAGUAUACUGUACUGGAGCGAAGGCGAUGUGUUAGGGAAAUUUGAGUGAUUUAAGAGAAGGAAGUCAACUAUUUUACAACACACGCUUUAAUCUUCAAGAGAAAGAAUAUUACAAUGUCAUCAGAUUGAAGGAUUAUAAACUUAUUUAAAAAGGA